rnacentral:tRNA from 1 species
GUUAACAUGGCUGAUUAUAGGCAAUAAAUUGUAAAUUUAUUUAUGAACAAAAGUUCUGUUAACA